UUUGCUGAUUUUGCAAUAAACAAGUACUGAACAGCCUCUAUAAGUCACAGUUUUGGGUGACAUGGGUAACAACAAAACAAAUGGAAGGGAGCAUGGGCUUGCCCUGUGGAAGAAAAGCCAGAGAGAGCAAGCAUUCAUACCAACAUUUUAAUGGCAGGACCCAUGAGAUCUGCACCAUGAUCAAGAACAGUGUUGAGGAUCCAUGGCUGUGAAUCUUUCUCUGGGCAUUUGCCUAACCACCAGAAAUUGCAGUGAGAGCAUAAGGAAGGGGGGAAACUUUCAAGAAAAGGAGAAGUACAAAAAAGUCAUGAUUUACUGGCUUCCUCUGCUGAAGCCUUAUCAGUGCCAUGCACAAGGCCCCAAUAUCUCCAUGGAGCACAUACUGAAAAAUAAGUCCAUGGGGCCUUAUACAAGACUGAG
rnacentral:lncRNA from 1 species